UACGUAGGGUGCAAGCGUUGUCCGGAAUUAUUGGGCGUAAAGAGCUCGUAGGCGGUUUGUCGCGUCUGCUGUGAAAACUGGGGGCUCAACCCCCAGCCUGCAGUGGGUACGGGCAGACUAGAGUGCGGUAGGGGAGAUUGGAAUUCCUGGUGUAGCGGUGGAAUGCGCAGAUAUCAGGAGGAACACCAAUAGCGAAGGCAGCUCGCUGGGACGGUAUUGACGCUAAGGCGCGAAAGCGUGGGAAGCAAACAGG
rnacentral:rRNA from 1 species